UGGGGAAUAUUGCACAAUGGGCGCAAGCCUGAUGCAGCAACGCCGCGUGAACGAUGAAGGUCUUCGGAUCGUAAAGUUCUGUUGCAGGGGAAGAUAAUGACGGUACCCUGUGAGGAAGCCCCGGCUAACUACGUGCCAGCAGCCGCGGUAAUACGUAGGGGGCUAGCGUUGUCCGGAAUCACUGGGCGUAAAGGGUUCGCAGGCGGAAAUGCAAGUCAGGUGUAAAAGGCAGUAGCUUAACUACUGUAAGCAUUUGAAACUGCAUAUCUUGAGAAGAGUAGAGGUAAGUGGAAUUUUUAGUGUAGCGGUGAAAUGCGUAGAUAUUAAAAAGAAUACCGGUGGCGAAGGCGACUUACUGUGCUCAUUCUGACGCUGAGGAACGAAAGCGUGGGUAGCAAACAGG
rnacentral:rRNA from 1 species